GCUGUCGGCUUAUCCCGGCAGCGUAGUUUUAAGCGGGGUUGAAGCUCACAAAGCCUUGACCCCUUUGAAAGUACUGAAUUAUCAGGGGCAUCCGGGCAAGAACCCGGCUAUCGCGGGUCCCGUGGGGCUUACUUGAAGCCGCUUCAGAGCUCAGGCACGCCGUACUGCGGUCUCACGCCGAUGGAGUCCCCUUACCGAGGGUGACCA
rnacentral:ncRNA from 1 species